rnacentral:rRNA from 1 species
AUUGAACGCUGGCGGCAGGCCUAACACAUGCAAGUCGAGCGAGCGGCGGACGUGUGAGUAAUGUGUUGGGAUCUGCCCGAUAGAGGUGGCUAACUACUGGAAACGGUGGCUGGUACCGCAUACUAUCGGAUGACCCAUAUGGGAUUAGCUAGUGGGUGGGGUAAAGGCUCACCAAGGCGAAGAUCUCUAGCUGGUUUGAGAGGAUGAUCAGCCACAUUGGGACUGAGACACGGCCCAGACUCCUACGGGAGGCAGCAGUGGGGAAUAUUGCACAAUGGGCGAAAGUCUGAUGCAGCCACGCCGCGUGAGUGAAGAAGGUCUUCGGAUCGUAAAGCACUGUUAUUGGGGAGGCGUUAAUCGCAGAAGAAGUAACGGCUAACUACGUGCCAGCAGCCGCGGUAAUAC